rnacentral:rRNA from 1 species
GGAGGGUGCGAGCGUUAUCCGGAAUCACUGGGUUUAAAGGGUGCGUAGGCGGCGAGGUAAGUCAGUUGUGAAAUUCCCCGGCUCAACCGGCGGGACUGCGAUUGAUACUGCUUUGCUUGAAACAGGUUGAGGUAAGCGGAAUGUGGCAUGUAGCGGUGAAAUGCAUAGAUAUGCCAUAGAACACCGAUUGCGAAGGCAGCUUGCUGGGCCUGAUUUGACGCUGAGGCACGAAAGCGUGGGGAGCAAACAGGAUUAGAUACCCUGGUAGUCCACGCCCUAAACGAUGUUUACUUGCUGUUCCUGGCUAGACUGGGAGUGGCGUAGCGAAAGCGAUAAGUAAACCACCUGGGGAGUACGCCGGCAACGGUGAA